UCUCACACUUGAAGAGACCCUACCUCUUGAGUUGUUUACCCAUAUAUAUAUCUCAACACUCUCAAGUUCCUUCUGAGUUGGAAUUUCUUCUUGUUCUUCUUCCCCUCUGCUCGUCUUUGCCGCUUCAUUUCUCUGCUUCUGUAAAUCUUGUUUUUCUUCUCUCAAAGUCUCACCGUAACGCAUUUAUCCCUCUGCAUACUAUUUUUCUAUCUCAUAUUUGUCAAUGAAGUCAGUUUUGCAAUUGGGGUUUAGGAGUUUCCUUCAUCCCUCCAGUGAAUCAGAGUAGGUUGAGAGUUGCAACAUUGAUACCUAAUAUGCAAAGGAAUGUAAUGGUGUCGAAUCAAUCCUCUAUAACUUUAUCCACACAGAAUUCAGAGCCUGGCGGGACAAGGAGAGAUAUAAGUCUGGUAACAAAUUUCGGAAGAGCCUGUUGUGAGAUGGUUUUUGUUUGAGUAUAUUUCAAUUACCUAUUAUGCUUCUCUUCUUUAUUCGGAUUUAGGGCUUUUACUCAACUUUUACAUAUAGGAAAAUGACUGUAAAGUGGACAUUCAAAGUUUUAAGGAUGACCCGUCGAGAAUUGAGGCUAUGACGGUCCAAGAACUGAGAAUGACAUUGAGUUUGGAUAUUGGCUUGGAGUUUAUGUGCUGCAGCUGCUGGCUGCUGUGUCUCGGCACAAGUGCAUUCCAGUUCCAUAUGUAGUUUGUAAUAGUCUAAUAGAGCUCGAGCUUACUUUAUCAUUUAUGUUCACAUU